UGCAUCGGCCGGGAAUCGAACCCUGGCCGCCCGCGUGGCAGGCGAGCAUUCUACGACUGAACCACCGAUGC
rnacentral:tRNA from 1 species